GCCGGGCGACAUGCCGGUGCGCUUCAAGGGGCUGAGUGAAUACCAGAGGAACUUCCUGUGGAAAAAGUCUUAUUUGUCAGAGUCUUGUAAUUCCUCCGUGGGGCGAAAGUACCCAUGGGCUGGACUUAGAUCAGAUCAAUUAGGUAAGUUGAGCAGGCUAAUAGCCAUUCUAACCUGGGCUAAGUUUAUAACUUGGGCCAAGCCGUUAUAACUUGGGCUAAGUAAACCUUGGGCUAAGUUUACCAAAUGAUAUAUUAAAAGUUCAGUUGGCCUGGUUGAUUUAUUCAUUUAUUAAUCAAGUAUUUAUUGAAGGUUUACUAUGAGCCAGGACUAUUCCCAGCAGCUAGUGUGGCAGGCCAGGUUUCACUAAUGGAGGCCUCCAUCACAACUGUUUCGGUACUGACUGAGUGGUUAAGUUAAAUAUUGAAAGCUAAAAAAAGCCAGUGCCCUUACACAAAGGCUGGGAUGUCACAAAAGCCCAUCAAGAGUAUUGCCUAGGCCUUUCCUGGGCCGUAAAGCAUGACAAAAUAAGGAAUUCUUAACAGGAUCCGUUU
rnacentral:sRNA from 1 species